rnacentral:rRNA from 1 species
GCAAGUCGAGCGGUAACAGGAAUUAGCUUGCUAUUUUGCUGACGAGUGGCGGACGGGUGAGUAAUGCUUGGGAAUUUGCCUGAUGGUGGGGGACAACAGUUGGAAACGACUGCUAAUACCGCAUAAUGUCUACGGACCAAAGGUGGCCUCUAUUUAUAUGCUAUCGCUUUUCGAUGAGCCCAAGUGGGAUUAGCUAGUUGGUAAGGUAAAGGCUUACCAAGGCGACGAUCCCUAGCUGGUCUUAGAGGAUGACC